AAGACUUAUUCACACUGUAGAAAAUUUCUAAAAAAUAGUCAAAAAUGGACGAAUUACGUUUAACGUUAAAGAAUGCCAAUAUUUUAAAGGCUGAUCUGAUAUGAUCAUUUCUGAUAUGGUGUGGAGAGUUUCCCUUUGUAACCUGAAGAAAUAAAGGGAAUGUGACACAAAUGAAAUGACGAAAAUGCGUGGGACGCAACAUCACCAUUUAAGGCAACAAUGUCAGCAAAGACAAUUUAGACUCCAAACUUGGAUUUCGAGACAAAACUGGGUAAUCCACAGCCCUUGGAUUCCAGUCAUCUACAGUCUAUGGAGAAAGACAGAUGCAUACACAACUACAAUGGUGCAAGCUUGCAGCCCACUGAUAGAUCCCCAACACACCCAGAGCAUGACCGUCCUCAGGCAACUCGUGGCCACCUUCGUACUUUCAUGUUGAAAAGUCACCUCAUCUUGGCAGCAGCUGGCCCCUCCAUGUCCUGAAAGACUUCCUUCUGGAUUCCUUGGAGACCUGCCCUGUCCCUCAACCCCACUAAUUAAAAAAUAUACCAUCACUCACUCUUCACAAUCCCAGUAUGGCUCUUUCUGCCCACAGGUCCUGCACCAUGAAGAGGGAAAGGGUGAAGGGAGAGGUGGGAGCGAUAGGAGGCCCCUGGGUCCCCUGACGGGGCUCCAGAUCUAUUCCUGGCAGGUGGAGCAGAACCAGAGAGAAGGGAUGACGCAAGAAUCUCAAGGCCACAAGCUUCCCAGCCAGUUCUCAGUAAAAGACUGCCACUAAAAGCCCUCAGUGGAAGCCCCUUGGGACUCCUCUCAGGCCAGAGAGCUUUUCUCUUUCCUCUCUGCUCUGACCUUCACUUAAUAAACUUUCACUUCACUUCA